AUUGAACGCUGGCGGCCGGCCGAACACAUGCAAGUCGAGCGAGCGGCGGACGGGUGAGUAAUGUCUGGUAAACUGCCUGUUGGAGGGGGAUAACUACUGGAAACGGUAGCUAAUACCGCAUACCCUCAGAUGUGCCCAGAUUGGAUUAGCUUGUAGGUUGGGUAAUGGCUCACCUAGGCGACGAUCCCGAACUGGUCUGAGAGGAUGACCAGCCACACUGGAACUGAGACACGGUCCAGACGCCUACGGGAGGCAGCAGUGGGGAAUAUUGCACAAUGGGCGCAAGCCUGAUGCAGCCAUGCCGCGUGUGUGAAGAAGGCCUUCGGGUUGUAAAGCACUUUCAGCGGGGAGGCGUUACCCGCAGAAGAAGCACCGGCUAACUCCGUGCCAGCAGCCGCGGUAAUUC
rnacentral:rRNA from 1 species